rnacentral:rRNA from 1 species
GAUGAACGCUGGCGGCGUGCUUAACACAUGCAAGUCGAACGGAAAGGCCCAAGCUUGCUUGGGUACUCGAGUGGCGAACGGGUGAGUAACACGUGGGUGAUCUGCACUGCACUUCGGGAUAAGCCUGGGAAACUGGGUCUAAUACCGGGUAGGACCAUAUUUUGGACGGUGUUGUGGAAAGGUUUUCGGUGUGGGAUGAGCUCGCGGCGUAUCAGCUUGUUGGUGGGGUAAUGGCAUACCAAAGCGUCGACGGGUAGCCGGCAUGAGAGAGUGUACGGCCACUUUAGAACUGUGAGGCAGGCCGGAGUCCUGCGGGUGGCAGCAGGGGGGAAUAUUUGACAAUGCGCGGAAGCCUGAGGCAGCGAGGCCGCGUGGUGGAUGACGGCCUUUGGGUUGUAAACUCCUUUCUCUAGGGACGAAGCGUUUUUGUGACGGUACCUGGAGAGGAAGCACCGGCUAACUACGUG